rnacentral:sRNA from 1 species
UGGUUCAAAUUCAUUGGCCACGCCAUCAU